rnacentral:rRNA from 1 species
UUACGGUCAAAUCACGCUGAAACUCCGGUUCUCGUACGAUCACCGAAGUUAAGCAGCGUAGAGCCAGGUCAGUACUUAGAUGGGGGACCGCUUGGGAACACCUGCUACUGUAAG